rnacentral:rRNA from 1 species
CGGAGGGUGCAAGCGUUAUCCGGAUUCACUGGGUUUAAAGGGUGCGUAGGUGGGAUGGUAAGUCAGUGGUGAAAUCUCCAAGCUUAACUUGGAAACUGCCGUUGAUACUAUCAUUCUUGAAUCUCGUGGAGGUAAGCGGAAUAUGUCAUGUAGCGGUGAAAUGCUUAGAUAUGACAUAGAACACCGAUAGCGAAGGCAGCUUGCUACACGAGUAUUGACACUGAGGCACGAAAGGCGUGGGGAUCAAACAGGAUUAGAUACCCUGGUAGUCCACGCCCUAAACGAUGGAUACUCGACAUACGCGAUACACAGUGUGUGUCUGAGCGAAAGCAUUAAGUAUCCCACCUGGGAAGUACGACCGCAAGGUUG